rnacentral:lncRNA from 1 species
AAAGAAAAAAAAAGACACAUAGAUUGGAGGUAAAGGAAUGGAAAAUGUAUUCCAUGCAAAUGGAAACCAAAAGAACUGGGAUAGCUAUACUUAGGUAAAAUAGAUUUUAAGUAAUGUAUACAAGGAGACAAAGGUCAUUGUAUAAUGAUAAAGGGAUCAAUUCAAGAGGAUAUAACAAUUAUAAAUAUAUAUGCACUCAGCAUCAGAGCACCUAAAUAUAUAAAGCAAAGAUAUAAAGAUCUGAAGAGAUAAACUGCAAUACAAUAAUGGUAGGGUACCUCAAUACCCAUUUUCAACAAUGUACAGAUCAUGCAGACAGAAAAUCAAUAUGGAAAUGUUGGAAUUGAGCCACAGUUUAGACAAAUGGAUCUAACAUAUAUACAGAACAUUUCAUCCAAUAGCAACAGAAUACACAUUAUUUUCAAGCUCACACAGAGCUUUCUGCAGAAUAGAUCAUACAUUAAGCUACAAAAGAAAACUUAACAAAUUUAAGCAGGUUAAAGUCAUAUCCAGUAUCUUUCAACCACAGUGGUAUGAAAUUAGGAAUUAAUAAUAGGAAAAAUGUCAGAAAAUUCACAAUAUGUAGAAUUAAACCAAAUUCUCCUGUACAACCAGUGGGUCAAAGACAAAAGUAAAAGGGACAUUAAAAAUUGUCUUGAGACAAAUGAAAAUGGAAACACCACAUGCCAAAACUUGCGGGUAGCAGCCAAAGCAGUCCCAAGAGGAAGAUAAUAGCAAUAAACACCUAUAUCGAAAAAGAAGAAAGACUGUGAACCAUCUAACUUUAUAUCUUAGGGAACUAGAAAGAGAAGAAUAAAUUAAGGCCAAAGUUAGUAGGAGGAAGGAAAUAAUAAAGAUCAGAGCAGAAAUAAACACAAACUAGAAAAACAACAGAAAAGAACAAAACUAACAGUUGGUUUUUAAGAUAAAAUCAACAAACCUUGAUCUAAACUAAGAAAUGAGAGAAGGCUAAAAUAAAAUUAGAAAAUAAAGCAGAGACAUUAUACAUGAUACUACAGAUAUACCAAGGAUCUUACGAGAUUGCCAUGAACUUGCUAACAAAUUGGAUAACCUAGAAGAAAUGGAUGAAUUCCUAAAACCAUAGAAUCUAUAUGAGCCGUAUACUUUCUUAACAUUUCUGCCAUCCUCCCUAUCCUCUUUGGUAUAGCCUCUCUUCAGACUGCCUCCUUAGCUCUCUUCUGGAUCACUAUAACAGCCUAACAAUUGUAUCACCUUCAGUUUUGCUCUUCCUUCCAUAUGACUAAAUAAAUGAAAAAUUUGAUCAGACAUUAACGAGUAGGGAGAGUGAAUUGGUAAUAAAAGGUCCACUUAUUUUGUCUUACAGUGAGAGUGGCUUGCUAUUAUCUCCCAUUAUUGAUGCAUUUCUAUCUUUGUCUUCCUGCAUCCCCUGCAGUUUUUGCUUCAUAAGAAUGUUUGCAGUGUUAUUUGGUACCAUACAUAUUCAUGUUAGGUCUUUAUUGUGAAUUACAGAUUUUAGAAUUAAAAAGGAGAUUUGGGCCGGGCACAGUGGCUCACGCCUGUAAUCCCAACACUUUGGGAGGCCGAGGUGGGCAGAUCACCUGAAGUCAGGAGUUUGAGACCAGCCUGCCCAGCAUGGUGAAACCCCGUCUCUACUAAAAAAAAAUACCAAAAAUUAGCCAAGUGUGGUGUCAGGCGCCAUAAUCCCAGCUACUCAGGAGGUUAAGGCAGGAGAAUCACUUGAACCUGAGAGACGGAGGUUGUGGUAAGCCAAGAUCGCCCCAUUGUACUUUAGCCUGGACAACAAGAACGACUCUGUCCCAAAAAAAAAAAAAAAAAAGAGAUUUGAGGGUCAUAUUUAUAUUUUUUUGGCUUGGAUUCUACGUUGCCUAGUAUCAGGAUCACCUCCCCUAUUUUCUUAUUGUUCUCAUUUCCCCUAUAUUUCAUUGUCCAUCCCAUUAUUUUUAGUCUUCUUACAUCACUUUGUUUCUUGUAUACAGUAUACUGUUGGUUCUAGCUUUGUAAGACAAAUUGAAAUAAGCUGAAUAGGUGAGUCAAGCCCACUCAUCAUUCAUAUGACUGAGUGUUUGGUUUGAAGCCUGUCAUAAAAUUGUAUUGUUAUAUUUGCUAUAUUUAUUUUCUGUGCAAUGUGUACUAUUUGUCAUUUUAUGAAAAUGUUUUACUGAUAGUUAAGAAUUUUUAUUCUAGUGGUUAUCUUUGUAUUUAUACUUUAUUCUCCAUUUUCUUAUUUAAGAUUUACUAUCUAGUUUGUCAGGUUUUAAUGCCUGUAAUUCACACUUAUUGCCUAUACAGCGAUCAAUGAUUUUAAUCUCACGUCUUUUUGCUCCCAUUUUUUAGUUGUUUUAUUUCUACCUGAUUGCAACAUAUAAUGUUUGUGUAUUGGUUUUGCACUCGAAUUCCUACUGUUGGUUUAGUCUGAAAGCUACUAUUAAAUAUAGUAAAUAUUGUAAUUUUAUUUUGCUGAAGUUUUUCAGUCAUCUCUUGUUGAAUGAAGCUCAUUCAUUAGUAGAUCUUCAUGAGUGGCUCAGGGGUACAUAAUUGUCUAAGUUAUGUGUUUGAAGCUGUUUUUCUAUUAUAGUGUUUUAUACUGAAGGACAGCUUGACUGAAUAUAAAAUCUUGGUUCACACUUUCAGUUUUUUGAAAAUUUAUUGUCUUGCUUUAUAUAUAUUUUUUGAGAAAUCUGAUACCAGUCUAAUUAUUUUGCCCUUGUAAAUUAUUUGAUCACGUAUCCCUGAAUCCUCGAGGAUUAAAAAAUUUUUUUCGGCCUGGCUCGGUGGCUCACGCCUGUAAUUCCAGCACUUUGGGAGGCUGAGGCGGGCAGAUCACGAGGUCAGGAGAUCAAGGCCAUCCUGGCUAACAUGGUGAAACCCCAUCUCUACUAAAAAUACAAAAAAUUAGCCUGGUGUGGUGGUGGGCGCCUGUAGUCCUGGCUACUCGGGAGGCUGAGGCAGGAGAAUGGCGUGAACCCGGGAGGCAGAGCUUGCAGUGAGCCGAGAGUGCGCCACUGCACUCCAGCCUGGGCAACAGAGCGAGACUCCGUCUCAAAAAAAAAAAAAGAAAAAAAGAAAAAUUUUUUUUUCAAGUUUAAAUAGUUUUACUGAGAUGUGUCUUGGAGUUAACAUUCAAAGUUUACUUUUCCAGUUAACUGGAAAUCCCUUUCAAAAUGUAGAUUCAGAUCCUUUUUAUUUCUGAUAAUUUUUCAUGGAUUAUAAUGUUAAAUAUUCUGUUCCAUUGUUUUUUAUUUCUUCUUCAGGGGUUCCAAUUAUAUGUGAGUUAUUUAUCUUUUGUUCAACUUUCUCUUUCUGACCAUUUUUCCUUCUUUUCUGUAUCGUAUUUAUUUGUUUAUUUUUGCAUCUAUCCAGUGUCUAAGUUUUCAUUAGUCUGUUUUCCUUUGGACACCUUGUAAUUUAGUCUUCAUUUAUAAUUCCCCCCCUUCCAUUUCUUUCUUGAAUUCAAUAAUCUUUAAAUUUACUCGUGGUUUUUUUAAUCUAUUUCUGUUUUUUAUAUUUUGAAUUUCCAAUUCACGGUGCUUUUUCAUAUCCCCAAAUGCUUAUCUGAGGAUUUUAUUCAGUUUGAUAUGUUGUGUUACAAUUUUCUUCUGAUUUAAUGGUUGCUUUUUGGUAGAGAAUUUUCAUCAGCCAAUGCAUGUUAAUUAUUGUUUGCUGAUUUCUCAUACUACCAUUAUAUAGAUUUAGUCCAUUUCCUUCCAUUCAUUUUUUUGAAUUUGAGGGGUUAUAAGAUUCCUAGUUCAGAAGGACUCUCUCUGUCAGCAUAGAAAAUACAAUUUCUUUAGGGGGUGUUUUUUUUAACUUUAUAGUAGAGGGAGGGAUUAUGUAUGUUCCAGUUUUUUGUUUUUUGUUUUUGUCUUGCAGGACCCUGAAUUUCUCCUGUUGCUUCUUUUCCCCUUCACCAUCCAGUUGCCAAAAGGCACCUUGCCUAUUCUUUUUGCUCUCUCCACUCCCUGAAGCUAUCCUGUAAUAAGUGUUGUGAUACUAAGAUACUUUAUAUUUUUGCACCUAGGAUAGAAUUUCUAUCUCUGCUGGUGAUUUUAGACCAAUUUUAGGCCUGCCACUAGAUCCGUUUUUCUUUAUUCUGUAUGUUCUUCUUUGGCCUGCCCUUGCUUGCUACAAAGGCUUAUGGUAGAAAUGUGAAAGAUCACUCACUUGGAUUUGGUGCUUUUAAUUUUUUUACUUAUAAGUAUUUGACAUUUGGCUAUAUUUUUCUUCUUGUUAGGCUGAGGGUGUAUUUUGUAUAGAUUUAUUUAUUCUUCUUGUUCUGUAUCGUUUAUGACGGACAUAGGUAGCUGCCAUUUUAUUUUAUUACCGCGAAGUCCUCACCUAUUCACUCUUAAAUCUACCUCAUUGAAGACUUCAAUAACUAUUUGUUGUUGGAAGCCAUAAUGAAACUGUUGAUCAAAUUACCCAAUCCAAAUCAAAUUAACCAAAAAGACUUUCUUCAGUCUUCAUAUUAAUUACCUUCCCUGCAGAACAGAACAUGGUUGCCCAUUAUGUGAAAUUCCUUUUACUUCUUUGGUGGUCCUGUCUGUUUUCUUAUGCCUAAUUGUUGCUUACGGUAUACUUGCUGUUUGUUUGUUUGUUUGUUUGUUUCUUUUAUACACUCAUUAAGUGAGUUCUCCAUCUAAAUAUCCCAUAAGGCACUUCAGAAUCAACAUAUCCAAAAGGAAACAUAUUUUACUCAUCUCCAAAUCUUUUGUUUCUCCAGCAAUUCAAGUUUUGGUGAAUGAAGCUAUGAACAAUCCAGUAAUCCAAACCAGAAACUUGAGAGUCAUCUUUUUUACACCUCCCACUUUGCAUCUCUCACAUUGAAUAAGCAAUCAUGCCCUGAGCCAUAUACUUUCUUAGCAUCUCUGCCAUCCUCCCUAUCCUCUUUGGUAUGGCCUCUCUUCAGACUGCCUCCUUAGCUCUCUUCUGGAUCACUAUAACAGCCUAACAAUUGUAUCACCUUCAGUUUUGCUCUUUCUUCCAUAUGACUAUCAGAAUUAUUUCUCUGGAAGAUCAUGUCAAUCACUCCUUCUCAGUGGUUCUUCAUUGCCUAUAGGAAGAAAUCCAAACUCCGUAGCAUGAGAGAAAUGUUUUUCAUAAUGACUUUAUCCUGCCUUUCUAUUGUUUCUUUCAUAUCAUGCCCAGCUCAGCCCCCCAUUCAAUGAAAAUCAUACUAAACUACUUUAAUUCCACUAACAUGUUGUGCUAGUUAAGCCUCUUUACCUUUGUUCAUGCUGUUUUUACUCAGACCACUCCAUUCCACAACAUACACUUGGGGGAUACCUACUAAUUUUGAAGACCCCCUUCAGCCCUGAUGUUAACCUUCUUUGUGGAAUCAUUAUUGACAUGAUGGAUAGAAUUGGUCAGAUGCUUCCUUGUUCAUCAGUUGUACUAGGCACAGCAUUCUAAUGUAGCACCUAUUACACAUUUUAAAAUUUGUUUACAUGUCUCCCCUCAUGUAAGUUUGUAGGACUGGUACCUGAAAUAUACUAGGCUUACCUUACUGACAUUUUGAAAUAUAAGAUAGCUUUCCAAGGCUUGCUUUUGCCUCCUGAUUCAGGACUCUACCAUUGGCAUCAUCAGGAAGAAUUUCUAAUAGUAUUAUUGAUCAGAGUCUUCUGGAAGUUUCUGCAGGUUACACAUCAACUUACUUUUCCCUGACAAAAUAAUUCUGCAUCUAGAAACACAAACAAGUAGUCAAAGAAGUUAUAUUGGAACUAAGAGAUGAAUUACCAAAGGAAAACUGAAAUCAAGAAACAUUUGAUGAAAUUCAGGCAAUGUCUUCAGGUGCCAGAGGACACAGAAAUGUCCCGAGAACCAUUCACAUGAUCUUAAAGAAACUUCUGCUGGUUGUCUUGUACCUUUGAAGCAGGUGUGAUUGAGAUGGAUACCUUAAUUUUUUUAAAGUAAAAAUUGUUCAUUCUCUUAUGUACUUUAGCAUACUGGUAUUCUUAUCAAAAUAUGAAACAGCAUCAAGUUUAAUAUUAAUUAUAAAACACAUGGUAUAUUUAUAUUUCUGCUCUUUAUUUUCUAAAGUUAACUCAGUUAACUCUCCAUAUAGGUAUUUGGACAUGGGCUGUAACCACUUUUUAGAACAAAUACUGUGAAGAUUGUUUUAUUACAUGACAUUUUAUGAUGUGAGAUUAACACCUUUGUGUUAGUAAACAUCCUAGAUUGUUCACUUCAAUAUAGAUUUUUAAAAUGUAUAGUUAUACUUGUGCAGGAUACUAGAAAAUGAAAAUGACUGUUCACACAUGCUUUAUUAUUCAGUAAUUUUACAAGAAAAUAUUACUGUUUGAAAGAAAAUCAUGCAUGCCUAAAACUGAUUCUGUUCCAGUUUUAUAAGUUAGUAUACUAAUUUUAAGACAUUGUGUAUAUUUCCUUCACUUAAUUUCUAUUUUCUACUGCAUUUCUACCAAUAUAAAAAACAAAGAAUUCAGUUGGUUCCUUUCUAGAGGGAAAAUUUGUUGUGAGUAUAGUACUGGGCAUCACAUGCUGCUUCCCUUUGUGGCUUUGAAUAAACCCUUAUUUUCUUGUCCAUUUUGUCUCAAAGAAUUUUAAAUGGCAUUGUCUAAACUCAGGAGUAUUGUGUGGAUUGAUUAGUAUGAGAAGUUUCUUUCAUGGUAAGUAUAGAGUUUAAGUAUAUAAAAUCAACUCUUGGUCAUAUAUGUAAAACACAAUUGAGAAGUAAAACUUGCCAUCAACUCUUGGUUAUAUACAAAAAAAUUGAGAAGUAAAACUUGCCAUACAUAUUAGUACAAGUAAUUAAAAACGGAUUAUAGCUUGAAAGGCAUUAGAUCUCACAUUAUUUACAUUCUCACUCCUUUUAGCUCCUUUGCUUUUUUGUUCUCUUGUUUGCAAAGAUUAAAAAUAAUGUUCCUGGCAUUUUAAUGGAACAUUACCAAAUGUACAUUCAUGUGUAUUGAUCAAAGACCAACUUUCAUUAGUGAAAAAAUCUAAUUUUUUCUAGACCAAUUAAAAGGAUAAAAUUCUCUUAUUUGAAUAAUAAGAGAAUUAAAGAGUUUAUUAAGCAAAAACAGUUGCUGAAAAAGCGUAGCAAAGACUGACUAGACUGGCUAGAAUUUCCUCUUCUUCCAGGACAGAUGGUUCUACGACAUUUUAAGCCUUCUUUGUAAUGGCCGAGUGACUGGGUUCUAGCUAGUGGAAUGUGAGUGGAAGCCUUUUACCUCAGAAAAGACACACAAUUCUGCAUGCCCUUUCCCCUUCUGUGGCAUGGUGCAAACAUGCAUGGUGACUUUGGAAGCCACAUUUUGACGAUGGUGGAGCCGCAAGAUGAAAAGAGCCUAGGUUCCUGAAUCACCAGGUGGAGGAAUAUUGCCAAUCCAUCAGUAAUGUAUUUUGUACUUUAUCAGAGCAAUAAAUAAAAUUCUCUACUUUUAGAGCCAUUAUACAUUUUUUUUUUUUAUUUUCAUUGCAGUUGUCGCCUGAACCUAUAUAGAAAUUGGUACCUUGAAAAGUGGAGGUUUCUGAACAAAAAAACCUUUAAGACUGUUCAAGAAGAAUGGUGCCAGCAUCUGCAUCAGGUGAUGGCUUCAAGUUAAAGAAAGAAGGUUCAUGGAAGAAGGUGAAGGGGAGCCAAGCUGGCUGUGUACAGAUAGCACAUAACCAGAAAGGAAGCAAGAGGUGAGUGGGGAGGUGCCAGGUUCUUUUUAACAACCAACUCGUAAUAGAGCCAGAUCUCACUCAGUGCCCCCGUACUGCACCCUAGGGAGCACAUUAAUCCAUUCAUGAGGGAUCUGUCUCCAUGACCCAGACACCUCCCAUUAGGCCCCACCUCCAACUUGAGAUUUGGAUCAGAUUUCAACAUGAGAUUUGGAGGGGUGAAAUAUCCAAACCAUACCAAUCACUUAAUACAAGUAUAAUAAGAUAUAAAGAAUCUUUUUAAUAAAAAAGAUAUGAAAGAGAUUUAAGAGAGUCAAGAGAAAGUGAGAGAUACAGAAGAUAGAUAUAGUAUCUAUUUUUUUAACUUUGAAGAAGAAAACCAAAGCAAUGAACAGAACAAAAAUUACUAGGUCCAUAUAAUCUCACGGGAAAAUUUUAUCAGACCUUUAAAUAGCCAAUGAUCAUAGUGCCAUUUAAAUUAUUUCAGUGUGUAAAAGAAGAAGGAGAACUUCCAAAAUUGUUUUAUGAAAUGAUGAUGCUGUAAUCCUUAAACUUGACAAGGAUUGCACCAAAAAAGAAAACUACAUAUCAAUACCUUUUAAAAUAUCAAUCCAGAACUUACAGAUUAAUAAUAGCAAACACUUAUAUAUUCCUUAUAUAUUCCAGGAAUAUUGAAUGAUUCAAUAUUAGAAAAUUAAACUAUGUAAUUGAUCAUAUCAAUGAAACAAAUAGGGAAACUCAUAUGAUUACACUCCAUAAAUCCUGAAAAGGCAUAUGGCAAAACUUGGCACACAUUCAUGUUAAAGAAUGUUCAGUGGGAGAGGAAUUGAUGAAUAUAUCCUCAUUAACAUUAAAAAGUAGAUAUAUUUCAGGCCAAAAACUUUUAUCUCAUUUAUUGGGAAAUACUAGAUGCUUUUCAGCCAAAGUCGGGAGUAAGGCAAGAAUGCUCACUGGUUCUCUACUACUCUUUUUUUUUAGACAAGAGUUUCGCACUGUAGCCCAGGCUGGAGUGCAGUGGCGCGAUCUUGGCUCACUGCAGCCUCCGCCUCCCAGGUUCAUGCGAUUCUCCUGCCUCAGCCUCCUGAGUAGCUGGGACUACAGGUGCACACCACCAUACCCAGCUAAUUUUUUAUAGUUUUAGUAGAGAUGGGUUUCACUAUGUUGGCCAGACUGAUCUCGAACUCCUGACCUUGUGAUCUGCCUGCCUCGGCCUCCCAGUGUGAUCUGCCUGCCUCAGCCUCCCAAAGUGCUGGGAUUACAGGCAUGAGACACCACGCCCAGCCUUCUUUUUUUUUUUAAACAGCUUUAUUAAGAUAUAAUUUACAUACCAUACAUUUCACAGACUUACAGUGUACAGUUCAGUGAGUUUUAUGUAUUCACAAAGUUGUACAACUAUUACCAUAAUCAUAAUUAUAAAAUUUUAGAACAUUGUCAUCACCCCAAAAGAAACCCCAUAAUCAUUACUAGUCACUUCUCAUUUUCCCCCAAUUUCUCCAGUUGUAGGAAGCCACUAAUUUGCCUCCAAUUUUUAUAGAUUUACCUAUUCUGGACAUUUUAAAUAAGUAGACUCAUACAGUAUGGGGCCUUUCGUGAUUGGCUUCUUUGACAGCAUAAUGUUUUCAAGGUUCCUCCAUGUUGUAGAAUCAAUAUUUCAUUACUUCUUAUUGCUGAAUAGUAUUUAAUUGUAUAUAUGAACUACAUUUUACUUAUCCAUUCAUAAUUGGUAGACGUUUUAGAUAGUUCCCAAUUUUUAGCUAUUAUGAAUAAUUAUAGCAUUAUACAUGAUGCUGACAUUUGUAUAUACAUAUUUGUUUGGAAAUAUGUUUUUAUUUCUUUGGGGUAUAUAAAAAGGUGUGGUUGUGUGGUAAUGUUACAUUUAAACAUUUGAAGAACUGCCAGACUCCCGAAUGACUGGAGCAUUUUGCAUUCCCACCAUCAACUUAUGAAGGCUCUAAUUUCUUUACAUCCUCACCAACACGUGUUAUUAUCUAUCCUUUUGAUUUUACCCAUCCUCUGGGUGUGAAGUGGUAUCUGUUCUGGUUUUGAUUUGCAUUUACCUAAUGGCUAAUAUUAUUGAGCAUUGCUUCCUGUACUUAUUGGGUGUUUGUAUAUCUUCUCUGGAGAAAUGUAUAUUCAGCUUGUUUGUCUACUUAAAAAUUUGGAUUACUGUGUCUUUAUUAUUGAACUGUGCUUUAGCUUAGGCUGCCUUAACAAAAUACCAUAGACUGGGUGGCUUAAACAACAUAAAUUUAUGUUAUCACUGUUCUGGAGGCUAGAAGUCUCAUCAAGGAACCAGCAUGGUCAGUUGCUGGUGAAGUCUCUCUUCCCUCUUGUAGAUGGCCACCUUCUCAUUGUGUCCUCACAUGGUGAGGGGAGAGAAAGAGCAAGAUCUCUUGUGUCUCUUCUUUUAAGGGCACUAAUCCCAUCAUGAGUGCCAUACUCUCAUGACCUCAUCUAACCCUCAUUGCUUCCCAAAAGUCCCAUCACCAAAUACCAUUACAAUGGGGCCUACAGAUUCAAUAUAUGAAUUUUGAGGGGACACAAAUAUUCAAUCCAUAACAGAUUUGUGAGUUCUUUAUAUAUUCUGCAUACAAGUUGCUUAUCAGAUAUAUGAUUUGCAAACAUGUUCUCCUAUCCUAUGGGUUUAAAAAAAAAUCUGUAUGGCAUCCUUUGAAGCAUAAAAGUUAACUAAUUUUGAUAAAAUCUGGUUUAUCUGUGUUUUCGUUUCUUCCUUGUGCUUUUGAUAUCACAUCUUGGAAGACUUUGCCUAACCCAUAGUCAUGAAGAUUUAAUCCAUAUUUUAAGAAUUGUAUAAUUUUCAUUUCUACAUUUAGGUUUGUCAUCCAUUUUGAGUUAAUUGUUGUAUAUGGCAUGAGAAAGAGUUUCAAUUAUUUUCUUUUGUUUGUAGAUAUCCAGUUGUCCCAGCACAAUUUUUUGAUAAGACUAUUGUUUUCUUUCAUUGAAUUUGUUUGGCAAACUUACCAAAAAUCAAUUGACCGUAAGUAUAAGGAUGGAUUUCUGGACUCUCAAUUGUAUUUCACUGGUGUAUGUCUGUCCUUAUAUCAGUACCACACAGUCUUGAUUAUUUGCUUUUGUGGAUUCUUUAGGGGGUUACAUAUACACAAUCAUGUCAUUUGUGAAGAGAGACUGUUUUACUUUUUCCAUAUGGACUCGUUUUUAUUUAAUUUUCUUACCUAAUUCCUUUUCUAGAACCCACAGUACAAUGUUGACUAGAAGCUGAAAAAUUGGACACUGUUUUUCUGGAUUGUAAGCGAGAAACAUUGUGUCUCACCAUUAAGUAUGAUGUUAGCUAUGGUUUUCAUAAAUACCUUUUAUCAGGUUGAGGAACAUUCCUUCUCUAUUAAUUUCCCAGGGAUGCUAUAACAAAAUGCUAUAAAUUUGAUGGCAUAAACAGUACAUUAUUGUCUCAUUUCUGGGGGCCAGAAGUCUGAAAUCAAGGAAUUAGCAGGGCCACACUCCAUCUGGAGGGUCUAGGGAAGAAUUCUUCCUUGCCUCUUCCAUCCUGUGGUUGCUAUCAGAAUUCCUUGGCUUCCUUGGCUUGUGAUAACAUAAUCUAAUCUCUGCCUCCAUCUUCACAUAGCCUUAUUCUCUCUGUCUGUGUCUGCCCCUUUUCUAAGGAAACUUGUCACUGGAUUUAAGGAAUACCUGAAUAUUCCAGAUUUAUCUCAUUUCAGGAUUCUUCACUGAAUUACAUCUGCAAAGAUCUGUCUUCCAAAUAAGGUGCCAUCCACAGUUUUGAGGAUUAGGGCACAGAUUUCUUUUGGGGGUAUUCGGGGUACUGUUCAACCACUACAGUCUGCCCCCUAGCUCCCCACAAUUCACAUUUAUCUCACAUAUCUUCUUUCAUCUUCUUUCAUUCCUGAUCCUGAUUAUUUGAGUCUUCUCUCUCUUUUUGUUGGUUAGACUAAUUAAAAGUUUAUCAACUUUUAUAUCUUUUCAAAGAAGCAAUUUUUGAUUUUUUCUUUUCUAUUUAUUUAUUUAUUUAGAGACGGAGUCUUACUCUGUCGCCCAGGCUGCAGUGCAGUGGCGCCAUCUCUGCUCACUGCAAGCUCCGCCUCCCAGGUUCACACCAUUCACCUGCCUCGGCCUCCCGAGUAGCUGGGACGACAGGCGCCCGCCACCACACCCGGCUAAUUUUUUUGUAUUUUUAGUAGAGAUGGGGUUUCACUGCGUUAGCCAGGAUGGUCUCGAUCUCCUGAUCUCAUGAUCUGCCUGCCUCGGCCUCUCAAAGUGCUGGGAUUACAGGCGUGAACCACUGCGCCUGGCUGAUUUUGUUUUUCUCUAUUGCUUUUCAAUUCUCUAUAUUAUUUAUCUCCACUUUCAUUUCUAUUAUUUCUUCCCCUGCUUGCUUUAAGUUUAGUUUGCUCCUCUUCCAUUGUCUUAAGGUGGAAGGUUAGGUUAUUGAUUUGCAGCCUUUCUUCUUUUUUAAUAUAGGUAUUUAUAACUAUAAAUUUCCCUCUAAGCACUGCUGUAUCUGUAUCUCAUAAGUUUUGGUAUAUUAUUCUUCAUUCAUUCAUCUCAAAAUAUUUUUAAAUUUCCCUUGUGAUUUUACCCUUUAGUAAUUUAGGAGUAUGACUAACUUCCACAUAUUUGUGAACUUUCCAAAUUUAUUUCUGUUUUUGAUCUAAAAUUUUAUUCCAUUGUGGUUGGAAAACAAAAUUUAUAUGAUUUCAAUACCCGUGUAUUUAUUAAGGCUUGUUUUGUGGCCUAGCAUAUACUCUAUCCUAGAGUAUGUUCCAUGAGCACUUGAGAAAAAUGUGUAUUCUCCUACUGUAGGGUAGAGUGUUUUAUGGAUUUCUGUUAUAUCUAGGUGAUUUAUACUGUUGUUCAAGUCUUCUAUUUACUUGUUGAUAUUCUGCCUAGUGUUGUUUUUUUAACUGAAAGUAGGGUAAUGGCGUCAUUAUUGAAAGUGGGGUAUUGGAGUCUCCAAUUAUUAUUGUCCAAUUGUCUAUUUCCUUUUUCAUUUCUAUUAGUUUUUAUUUGAUGUAUUUUGUGGCUCAGUUGUUAAGUUCGUAUAUCUUUAUAAAUGUUAUAUCUUCCUGAUGGAUUAUUCCUUUUAUCAUUAUAAAUAUUUCUUACUCUCUAGUAACAUUUUUGUUGUAAAGUCUACUUUGUCUGAUAUUACUAUAGCCACUUUUAGCUUUCUCAUAGUUGCUUUUUUGCAUGAUGUAUCUUUUGCCACUCUUUUACUUUCAAUCUAAUUGUGUCUGAAUCUAAAGUUUAUCUCCUGCAGAAAGAACAUAGCUGGAAUUUAUUUUUUAAAUCCAGCCUGACGGUCUGCUUUUUGAUUGGAUUGUUUAAUUUAUUCAUAUUUAAUGCUAUCAUUAUAGUUGGACUUAUGUCUACCAUUUCUCAUCUAUUUUCUGUAUUUCUUAUGCAUUUUUCUUUUGUUCUUUCUUUUCAGCUGUCUUUUAUAUCAAAUGAAUAAUUUCUAGUAUGAUUUUUUAAUUUCUGUAAUCUUUUUCACUGUAUUAUAAACAUUUAUUCUACUAGUGGUUGCUCUAGGACUUCCCAAACACAUAUUAAUGUAUCACAGUCUACUUCAGAAUUAUACGUAUGUUUAGUGAGAUAUAGAAAUGUUAUUCUAUAUAGCUAUAUUUUUGCUUUCCAUUUUUGUGCUAUUAUUGUUAUGCAUAUUACAUCUAUAUGUUACAAAUACAACAGAAUAUUGUUAUAAUUAUUUUAUAUAAUAUUAACAUCUUUUUAAAAAGCUAGGAAAAGACAGACCAAGUGUAUAUAUUUAUAGUGUGUUAUAUUGAUGUUCUUAUUUACUAUUUCAGGUUCUCUUAAUUUGUUUAUUUUGCUUUUGAGUUUUAAAGUGAAUUUCCUAAAAAUUGGAAUAAAAUGAAAAAUGAACCUAACUGCUCUAUUCAGAAACCAUUCAGAGCUAUUUAUUUAUUUAUUUAUUUGUCUUUUUUCUUUUUUAUUGCUUUUCACAUUGAACGUCAGGCCUUAAGCCUGAGAGAAGUGGCUCUGAGACCCUAAGUGCCCUGAGGAGUGCCCCCAUCCCCACUGAGCUAAGCGGGGUGUUUUAAGUUAUUUUUAAACCCAAUAAUUUGUAUAUCUUGGUGUGAUAUAUACAAAAGAUAAAAGUAACCACAACAAGACCUUAAACUGUUUCCUGUAAUCACUGAUAGCUGUGGAAUUUUUUGUUUUUGUUUUCUGAGACUGGUGAAUGUUCUUCCUGAAUAAAUUAAGUGAGGAAUUAUUCAGGGCCAGGACUAGAGUGAGGGAAGAAGGCAUUUGCCUCAGGCACAAAAUAUAAGGGACUCAAAACAAAUACAGUAAUGAGCUGUGAUUGCAUCACUGCACUUCCACCUGGGCAACAGAGUGAGACCUUGUCUCAAAUAUAUAUAUAUAUAAUGAAUUAAAGAAUAUAUAUAUAUAUGUUUGAGACAAGGUUAUACAGCUGAAUUAGAGAAUACUGAAACAUUGCUCCA